GCUGGGCAUGGUGGCGGAUGCCUGUAAUCCCAGCUACUUGGGAGGCUGAGGCAGGAUAAUCACUUGAACCCGGGAGGCAGAGGUUGCAGUGAGCCAAGAUCGCACCACUGCACUCUAGCAUGGGCUACAGAGUGAGACUCUGUCUCAA
ensembl:misc_RNA Metazoa_SRP Metazoan signal recognition particle RNA